UACGUAGGGUGCAAGCGUUGUCCGGAAUUAUUGGGCGUAAAGAGCUCGUAGGCGGUCUGUCGCGUCGAAUGUGAAAACCCGGGGCUCAACCCCGGGCCUGCAUUCGAUACGGGCAGACUAGAGUUCGGUAGGGGAGUCUGGAAUUCCUGGUGUAGCGGUGAAAUGCGCAGAUAUCAGGAGGAACACCGGUGGCGAAGGCGGGUCUCUGGGCCGAUACUGACGCUGGAGGAGCGAAAGCGUGGGGAGCGAACAGG
rnacentral:rRNA from 1 species